UGGGGGCCAAGCUCUCGCUGCCGGAAGUCACCCAGGGAGGAAACCACAGGGUCCGCCCCCUUCGGAAGGGAAAAUACCCGUGCCCGAAGGCCCACCCCAGCCGGCAGCGGACCCCAAAUCAUGUUGUGUGUGUGUACAAAGACUGAGGACCAGAGAAGUGAGGUGGCCUCUCUAAGGGCUCAGAGGCAAGAAGCGUUGAAGCCAAGAAGCAGGGCAGGAGGAGGCUUCCGCAGACUGUGGCCAACGGGGAACCCAGCCGCGCCUCUGCCCGCAGCCCAGGGAGCUGUCCAAAGGCUGAAAUGCAAGGGCCCUCGGAGUAGUCCAGAAGCCCUCCAGUAGUAACCCUGCUGCUGUCUCCAGGAAAGCCCGGCCUGCUCACCAUGGAUGGCCUCCAGGCACCCGCGGGACUUCACUUCUCCUAAUGAGAGCACUGUGUGCCUGCCACACCAGAGAAAGCCAAGUCUGUUCCCACUUGGGGCCUCUGACCUUGCCGACCCCUCCCCUAGGACGCUGUUCCCCAUCUCUUCCCUUUCCUCUGACCCUUCAGGACUUAGCUCAAAGGCCGCCUCCUCCCAGAAGCCCUCCCUCGGCCACUCUCCACUCCAGCUAUUGCUCAGUUGCUAAGUCGUGUCCGACUCUGCGACCCCAUGGACUGCAGCACGCCAGGCUUCCCUGUCCGUCACUGUCGGCCGGCGUCUGCUCGGGCUCACACCCCUCGAGCCAGUGGCCAGUGUUGUUCUCUUUGUAGUGCUGUCUGCAGCUCAGGCGCUGUCACCUUGCCUUACUGUUUCCCCCUCUGAAAUGUAAGCUCUCUGAAAGCAGGUGGUUUUUUUGGUCUUGUUUUCUGCGGUAUUCCUUUCUGAAAGGGACACACCACGCGCUUAGAUGCUAUUUGUUGAAUGAAUGGAUUCUUCCAGGCUCCCACAGCCCACAGAAUGAAAUCCAGGGCUGGCUUUCCAAGCUCAAGUGGACAUGGGCCUCUGCCAAUCUCCAUGGGCAAAUCGCCUUCAGAGCUCACCUUCUUCCUCUGGGUUCGGCAACUUGGGGUUCCCUAUGUACCCAUCCUCCGAGCUUCCUGUGUUCAUUGGGCAAAUUCUACUGGCCUCUACAGCCUCAGCUCAAAUCUCUCCUCUCUGGAAGCUGUCUCUGACUCCAUGGGAGGCCUACUUAAUAGUGAUGGCCUCAGUCUUCCCACAGUUCAGGCAUCUUGGGCUUAGCACUAAUCGUACUGCAUUGAAAUUACUUCCCAAUGAGGCUGCCCUCACAGGCAGGGCUGGAGGGCAGGGUGGGGUUUCAUUCAUUUUUGUAGAAUGGAGUCCAGCACUGGUCUGCAGAUAAGCCCCGUUGAAUGAGGACACCUGCCCCGCAGACUGACACUUUGUAGAGCUGGAUGUAAGCACUAGCGCUUCCCAGGUGGAGCUAGUGGUAAAGAGCCCAGCUGCCAGUGCAGGAGACAUAGAGAUGCGGGUUAGGAAAUGGCAGCCCACUCCAGCAUUCUUGCCUGGAGAACCUCAGGGACAGAGGAGCCUGGCGGGUUACAGUCCACAGGGUUGCAAAGAGUUGGACACGACAAGCAACUUAGCAUGGAAGCACUGAUCUGGGAGUCGAACAUUUGAAAGCCUGGAAACUGGUCUUUCCAUUCACUUGCUGUAUGACCCUGGGCAGGUGAUUUCACCUCUCUGAGCCUCUGAGGAUUCUCAUCUUUGAAAAGGGGGCAGUAACAUGGGCUGAUCAGUAGUAAAGAAUUCACCUAUCAAAGCAGGAGAUGCAUGAGACCCAAGUUCGGAUCCCUGGGUCA